AUGAAUUGGAAACAUCUGAUGGUUCUAAAACCACUUCCCUUUCAAGAGGCAGAAUCACCUACAUGGAAACUUCAACAGGCUUAAAUAAAUAAGGCUUAAAUAUUCUGUUGACAGCAGGGCUGUUUUAGCAAUUCAGGUUUCCCACAAUCCAGAUAUGCAGACUUGUUUUGCCUGUGCCUGCAUCUCACUGACCAACUUGGCAAUCUGGACCAAACAGACCUUUGGUCAAUUUAACAGAGCGUGGAAAAGUUACUUUGAGGCAGGGUGGCGAGAAAGAUGCUAUAACCGCAAAGGAGGACGAGGCACCGUAAAAUGCAGGACACUCAAGAAAAACGUAGGAUAUUACAAAAUAAAGGCUAGAAGGAGUAAUGCAAGUAUAAAUUCAUACCUCUUAGCCAUGCUCAAAAUGGAUGGCAUUUUGGAAUUCUUCCUGGGGAGAAGGCUGAAAUGUAGGACGUCUCCUGGAAAGGAGGAUGUCUGCUCACGUCACGCUGCUUUGAGGAAGGCAGCAACUCUCAGAAUCUUUCUAAACAGUAAUUUUCCCAAACUUUCCCAAAGGUUGCAAUUUGAAUUACUUUGCCAGCAUAAGUGCCUGUAUCCCAUGAUCUAAGGUCCAAAACACACUGCACAAGUAAUCCAGUUUGACACCACAUUAACUGUCCUGGCUCAGUCCUAAGGAAUCCUGAGAAUUGUAGUUGAUUGUGACACCAGAGCUCUCUGACAGAGAAGGCUAAAGGUCUCACCAAACUACAGUUCCCAGAAUUCCCUAGCACUGAGCCAAGGCAGUUAAAGCGGUCUCAAACUGGAUUAUUCCUGCAAUGUGCUUUGGACCUUUGGGUCAUUUGUAGAGGCUGGUGGGUUGGAAAUGGGAGAAAAAAAGGCAAGAUGUAAAUGUACAGAGAAGAUCUGGUUGGGAAUUAGGUGUACAUCUAUUCAAGUAUAGUUUUUCAACAGUUAAUAGUGUGUUGUGGCAGCCAAAAAAAACCAAUGCAAUUCUAGGCUGCAUCCACAGGUCAGGAGUGUGGUGUCCAGAUCAAGGGAAUAAUGCCACUCUAUUGUGCUUUGCUCAGAUCUCACCUGGAAUCCACAUUACAAGAAGGAUGUGGACAAGCUGGAACAUAUCCAGAGGUGGCCAAAAUGGCGAAAGGUCUAGAUAUCAAGCCUUAUGUGGAAUGACUUACGACUUUGGUAUGUUUAGUGUGCAGAAAAGAAGAUUGAGAGAUGAUAUGAUGCAGUCAUCUUUAAAUAACAAGACAUGUCUUGUAGAAGAAGGAACAAACUUGUGUUCUGUUUUUCCAAAGUCUAGAAACACCAACAGACGGCUUGAAAUGACAAGACAAGAGAAUCCACUUAAACAUUAGGAGAAGAAAAGACAGAGCCCAGGGCAGAAAUAGCACAGGAGGAACUUCAGAGUGGAAAAAGGAAAAGCUGGGCAAAACCAACUGUGACAGAUUUCCCCACUGUGUCUUCUCCAUUUCUGUACCGUCAUGUGCCAAAAACAGACAAGGAACAUCCCACCCCUACUCAGAAAUUGAACUUCUACAGAUCCUAGGAAGAGGCCUUAACCCUGAAGGAUGAGAGGCAAUGCCAGUAAUAACCUUUUAACAAGAUACCUCUCAAAGGCUAAAAACCGGGGCAAUAAAUUAAAAGGGGCAUGUACCAGAACUGUAACUUCUGUUCAAAACAGAGCUCCUUUUUCCUUCUCUUUACUAAACUCCCUAUUAUGUGAUUGUAAA